GACGAACGCUGGCGGCGUGCUUAACACAUGCAAGUCGAACGGAAAGGCCUGCUUUCCCUUGUGGAUUUCGGGUACUCGAGUGGCGAACGGGUGAGUAACACGUGAGUUAUCUGCCCCCAACUUGGGUAUAAGCCUGGGAAACUGGGUCUAAUUCCCGAUAGGACUGCAGGGUGGUGCCUGUGGUGGAAAACGAUUUUCUAGUGGUUGGGGAUGAGCUCGCGGCCUAUCAGCUUGUUGGUGGGGUAAUGGCCUACCAAGGCGGCGACGGGUAGCCGGCCUGAGAGGGUGGACGGCCACAUUGGGACUGAGAUACGGCACAGACUCCUACGGGAGGCAGCAGUGGGGAAUAUUGCACAAUGGGCGGAAGCCUGAUGCAGCGACGCCGCGUGGGGGAUGACGGCGUUGGGGUUGUAAACUCCUUUCGACCGCGAGGAAGCCACCUGGUUGGAAGGGUGGUGACGGUAGUGGUAGAAGAAGCACCGGCUAACUACGAG
rnacentral:rRNA from 1 species